UACGAAGGGGGCUAGCGUUGCUCGGAAUCACUGGGCGUAAAGGGUGCGUAGGCGGGUCUUUAAGUCCGGGGUGAAAUCCUGGAGCUCAACUCCAGAACUGCCUUUGAUACUGAAGAUCUUGAGUGCGGGAGAGGUGAGUGGAACUGCGAGUGUAGAGGUGAAAUUCGUAGAUAUUCGCAAGAACACCAGUGGCGAAGGCGGCUCACUGGCCCGAUACUGACGCUGAGGCACGAAAGCGUGGGGAGCAAACAGG
rnacentral:rRNA from 1 species